CCUACGGGAGGCAGCAGUGGGGAAUAUUGCACAAUGGGGGAAACCCUGAUGCAGCGACGCCGCGUGAAUGAAGAAGUAUCUCGGUAUUUAAAGCUCUAUCAGCAGAGAAGUAAAUUAAGGUACCUGACUAUGAAGCCCCGGCUAACUACGUGCCAGCAGCCGCGGUAAUACGUAGGCGGCAAGCGUUAUCCGGAUUUACUGGGUGUAAAGGGAGCGUAGACGGGGCUGCAAGUCCGUAGUGAAAUCCCAUGGCUUAACCAUGGUACUGCUAUGGAUACUGUGGAGCUUGAGUGCGGGAGGGGCAGGCGGAAGUCGUAGUGUAGCGGUGAAAUGCGUAGAUAUUAGGAGGAACACCGGCGGCGAAGGCGGCCUGCUGGACCGUAACUGACGUUGAGGCUCGAAAGUGUGGGGAGCAAACAGGAUUAGAUACCCCUGUAGUC
rnacentral:rRNA from 1 species